GCUGGGUGUGGUGGCGUGCGCCUGUAAUCCCAGCUACUCAGGAGGCUGAGGCAGGAGAAUUGCUUGAACCCAGGAGGCAGAGGUUGCAGUGAGCCAAGAUCGUGCCACUGUACUCCAGCCUGGGCGACAGAGCAAGACUCCGUCUCAA
ensembl:misc_RNA Metazoa_SRP Metazoan signal recognition particle RNA